rnacentral:lncRNA from 1 species
GGUGUCUUCAUGAUAUCACAAAGCAGGUUCAGCAUCAUAGCAGGCAUGAUGGAAAGAUAUGGGAACUUCUCCAUUUCCCCAGUUAAAUAGGAACCUUGAAUGUGUGGAAAAAAUUGAGCAAGCCUGGGACAGAGAACCCAUUGGUCCCAGCAUCACUCCUGCAAAGAGCAAGACAAACGGUGAGCUGGAAGCCAAGAGGAAGAAACCAGCCUCUGGCGGGGAGCCUUCCUGGAAGGGACAGGAACUGGGAGGUCCCCAAGAGCAUCAGAGCCUGGGGUGAGGCCCACGUGGAGGAGGUAUAUACCAGCCCAUCACCUGGGCAAUGCUGGAGAGUAAAUGAAAAUAGCCAUCCCCAGAGAAACAUAUUUAUUCAUUUAAUGGCUGAAACAAAAUGCCAUCUCUGUUGUGAUAACAAAAAGCUUAAAGUGCAUUACUGUCGUCUGUCUCUCAAUACACUUGUGGUCUGGCUCCUGGGUCACGUAGUGCAACAGUCCAUGUAAUCCCCUGAACGGAAAAAAAUUAGGCUCAAAGUGCCAAAUGGACGCCCACCACAUAAUAUCAGGUAAAACAAGCAUAUUCCUUUGUCCCCUCUGGCCCCCCUUCCAAAACCUCCCCAAAUGUUAGAGAAAUCGAGAGAAAUUCCAGUCAUUUCUC